UCACUUCCAACAGGGGUCUAUUCGUCAGUCAAAACGUUAAUCUUGAAGGAGCAAAAGUUUGUUCAUGAACUGUCAUGCUCGCUAGGCGAAGCCCACGCGUUUCGAAAAAAAAAACUAUAAAAAAAAAAUUAAUUAAUUAAUUAAAUAAAUAAAUAAAUAAAAUAUAAUAGAAAAAUCUUGGACUUGGACCUCUCUCAUUUGAGCCCACAAAGCCAUGAAAACCAGG
rnacentral:lncRNA from 1 species